CUAUAUCAUCAUCAAAGAUGGCUGCUUCGUAAGGAAUGUUGUGAUGUUGACUUUGAAAUGCAUCAGCUCCUUUCGUGCCUUGGAAAAAGACUUGAUGGGAUUGUACUGGAUUCGAUCCACAAUUCCUGAUAUGAAAAUAGAUGUAACACCAAUACAGAGAGCAAUCAAUGGCAAAACCGAGUAAAACUGGUGCAUUUCACUGUUGGCUGGUCAAUGGAGAUGAAAUCAACAGGUGACUAAGACUCACCC